GGCUUGGAGCCCUGCGACUGCGAGCAACCGGGAACCGAGGGAGUCGUGUCUGUGCGAGUGUGCCAUGGCGGGCGAGGGGUCAGAGUCAGACCCUGCCUGCCUCCCCGGUGCCGCCGCCGUCGAAGCGGAGAAAGAUCGAGCCGCCCAGGAGGUACCAGUUUUGCCCACCCUCCCAAAUUCUGCGAGAUUCCUAGCAAUAUUCGUUGCGACUGCUACCGCUACGUGUUCCCAACGCUCUGAUUUAUAGUGGACGCCCAUGCCUGAUUUUUUUGUCCGAACGAGCGAGCUGCCUUCUAGUUUGGAGAUGGCUCCAACUGUAGGUUUCUUUUCGGCAAGGUUCCGGACUAGGCAUCUCGUGGGCAUCCUCAUACGUUAGGUUUCGGUGUUCUUGGAAAGGGGCUUUGGAGUGUGGCAGUGUGCGUAUGAUCUCCCGUAUUUCGACAAAAUCCUCCAUUAUUCGCAUGGAACCUUGCUUUUGCAUUUCUGCCAAUAUGCCUGCGCCUGCUAGGGCAUCGGCCAUAGCUGAGUAGCGUAGAUGGCAUUGGGUGAUUUCGUCGCCACAUGUAUUAUGGAGAAGAAAAGUGCAUUAUUCACCCGAGGGGACGGGGGGGUUCUCGUUUUAUUAGUGUAAUACUCAUGGUCCUAGUGAUUUUCUUCUUCAGACCCUUUGCAUGAUCCUCAACCUGAAGAGUCAAGCAUGCUGUGUAUAUAUGUAUUGUAUUGUCGAAUACUCUGCUUGUGCAAUACUAUCUGUUGCCACGAAAAGGUGUUUAGUGUUACUCCAAUUGUGGAGUCUAUUCUGUAGAUUGUAGUAUAGCACAUAUAUAAACUAAAAAAAAACAUAGAGCAUUCAAUUCUGAAGGGCAGGCCGGCAUGAUACGUAGUCUUGGUUUAUCCCUUCUCCAGAGCAUUUAAGGAUUGGUGUGCUAGUCUAGUCAAUUAGGUUUCUGUUUCUUCUUUAGUCAUUGUCCACAUUAAAUCCAUUGAACCAGAAUCAUCUAUCCUGUCAGUUAGCUUUCCAUUGCGUGUGCAAAUUUAAGUAUCAGUAUUAGGUUAUGUGGAGGGCCUAAAAUGACAAAAAGGAAAUCAUAGCUCAUGCUGUGUAGUUCCUUCUCAGGUAGCUAUGCCAAGGCAAAUAGGUUUGUGCUUCUCCCUCAGUCAAGACAAAACAGUUCAUUCUGUUAUUGAACUUCACGUCAAAUGCCUUUAUUAAUCAUUAUUGCUGUUAAUACAUUGACUACUACUCGGGGUGGGCUACGAAUGGCCCCCAACGAUUUAGGGGUUGUUUGGUUACAAAAUAAGGUGGUGCAUCAUUAGUUAAUUCCUCAAAUUUGGCGGAAUAAUAUUAUUCCUCAAAGCUGAGGGUUUAGCAAUCCACAACAGUUUUUGAUGGAUAUAAGGUGAAAAAAAGCCCAAACAUCGUCUUCCGACUCACCGGCAUGCCCUGUUACCCGUCCAUUGGCAAUGGCCGCUUUCUUUCCUGUUUCUUGAUAACAACUAGUAUCAUCCUUUCUUUGAUGUGAACAACACUUCUGCAGGUUUCGGUGGGUCGAUCUCGACAAAAGCUAGAGAGGCAAAGAGAUAUCCGCCGUCCUUCAAGCGCAGCGUGAGGGAGAUGCCUUGGAAGCUACAAAAGCUUCGGUUCCCUCUUUGGGAAGAAUCACCUUGUUCCUGUCAUCCCAACGAACGACUGACGAACAAGGCUGUGAAUACCGACCAGGAUGACCCUUGCAGUUUCCUUUAAGAGCGCGACCUGAUACCGCAUACUAAGCUAUGGACAUUAACAUUACAUUGAUCGUAAGGUGACAGCACGAAGUUACUGUCAGCUCAGAAGUCAAGUAAUUACUACCAACCUGUACGUAUGCCGCCCCCAACUUGCAGGAUCUCGACAGCGACAAAAGGUACAGAUUUUCCUGCACAUUUGCAGAUCUAAGAUCUAAGCGGUGAAAAAGCUUUGCAUGGUGGCGAGCAUAUGUUGGUGUGUGUUAGCUUUCUUUCUUUCUUUUUUUUUUCUAGUGGGAAUUCGUAUCCGGUCCUUGCUACCACCCCACCCGACGUCGGAGGAAUGCACAUCUGGAUUCAAUCAUUUUUAUUCUCGUUACCAAAACCUCCUUUUUCAGUUAUCGAUGGAGGGGUUUUCAUACCUUUUUGCCUUAAACAGCUAAUGCAACAAAUAACAAACAAAAAACGUUCUUGUUGUGGUUUUCAUUCGCAC
rnacentral:lncRNA from 1 species